GAUGAACGCUGGCGGCAUGCCUAAUACAUGCAAGUCGAACGCUGGAAGUCUAGCUUGCUGGAUGGAAGGAGUGGCAAACGGGUGAAUAAUACAUAAGCAACCUACCCACGAAGACUGAGGUAAUCUAUGAAAACGGGGACUAAUACCGGAUAGGUAAUCGGAAGGCAUCUUCUGAUUAUUAACGGAUAAAAACACUGGUGGAUGGGCAUAUGGCGCAUUAGGUAGUUGGUGAGGUAACGGCCCAUCAAGACGGUGAUGCGUAGCCGGCCUGAAGGGGUGAACGGCGACAUUGGGACUGAGCCACGGCCCAGGAUCCUACGGGAGGCAGCGGUAGGGAAGGGUCGGCGCUGGGGGAAACCCUGACCGAGCAACGCCGGGUGAGCGAGGACGGCCUGCGGGUAGUAAAGCGCUGUUGGAAGGAAAGACCGGUAGAUAGAGAAUAUCUACAUGACGGUACCUUACCAGAAAGCCACGGCUUACCACGUU
rnacentral:rRNA from 1 species